AUAGCUCAGUCGGUAGAGCAAAGGACUGAAAAUCCUUGUGUCACUGGUUCGAUUCCAGUU
rnacentral:tRNA from 1 species